UAAUACCGUAUAACAACCAAAACCACCUGGUUUUGGUUUAAAAGACGGCUUCGGCUGUCACUUUAGGAUGGACCCGCGGCGUAUUAGCUUGUUGGUAAGGUAACGGCCUACCAAGGCGAUGAUACGUAGCCGACCUGAGAGGGUAAUCGGCCACAUUGGGACUGAGACACGGCCCAAACUCCUACGGGAGGCAGCAGUAGGGAAUCUUCCACAAUGGACGAAAGUCUGAUGGAGCAACGCCGCGUGAGUGAUGAAGGGUUUCGGCUCGUAAAACUCUGUUGUUGGAGAAGAACAGGUGUCAGAGUAACUGUUGACAUCUUGACGGUAUCCAACCAGAAAGCCACGGCUAACUACGUGCCAGCAGCCGCGGUAAUACGUAGGUGGCAAGCGUUGUCCGGAUUUAUUGGGCGUAAAGCGAGCGCAGGCGGUUUUUUAGGUCUGAUGUGAAAGCCUUCGGCUUAACCGGAGAAGUGCAUCGGAAACCGGGAGACUUGAGUGCAGAAGAGGACAGUGGAACUCCAUGUGUAGCGGUGAAAUGCGUAGAUAUAUGGAAGAACACCAGUGGCGAAGGCGGCUGUCUGGUCUGUAACUGACGCUGAGC
rnacentral:rRNA from 1 species